AUUGAACGCUGGAGGUAUGCUUAACACAUGCAAGUCGAACGCGAACGGUUCUUCGGAGCUAAGUAGAGUGGCGGACGGGUGAGUAACGCGUAGGAAUCUACCCAAGUGUGGGGGAUAACAUGGAGAAAUUCAUGCUAAUACCGCAUACGCCCCAUGGGGUAAAGAGGGCCUCUUCUUGAAAGCUCUUGCAUUUGGAUGAGCCUGCGUCGGAUUAGCUAGUUGGUGAGGUAAGAGCUCACCAAGGCGACGAUCCGUAGCUGGUCUGAGAGGAUGAUCAGCCACACUGGGACUGAGACACGGCCCAGACUCCUACGGGAGGCAGCAGUGGGGAAUAUUGGACAAUGGGGGCAACCCUGAUCCAGCAAUACCUCGUGUGUGAAGAAGGCCUUAGGGUUGUAAAGCACUUUCAAUUGGGACGAAAAGUUCAAAGUUAAUACCUUUGGACCUUGACGGUACCUUUAGAAGAAGCACCGGCUAACUCCG
rnacentral:rRNA from 1 species